CAGCCGCCGCGGUAAUACGGAGGGGGCAAGCGUUAUCCGGAAUUAUUGGGCGUAAAGGGUACGUAGGUGGCCUUUUAAGCGUAGGGUAUAAGGCAAUGGCUCAACCAUUGUUCGCCCUAUGAACUGGAAGGCUUGAGUGCAGGAGAGGAAAGCGGAAUUCCUAGUGUAGCGGUGGAAUGCAUAGAUAUUAGGAGGAACAUCAGCGGCGAAGGCGGCUUUCUGGACUGCAACUGACACUGAGGUACGAAAGCGUGGGGAGCAAACAGGAUUAGAUACCCGCGUAGUCCCUGUCUCUUAUACA
rnacentral:rRNA from 1 species